UGGGGAAUAUUGCACAAUGGGCGCAAGCCUGAUGCAGCGACGCCGCGUGGGGGAUGACGGCCUUCGGGUUGUAAACCUCUUUCACCAUCGGCGAAGCCCAUAGCUUUUGUUGUGGGUGACGGUAGGUGGAGAAGAAGCCCCGGCUAACUACGUGCCAGCAGCCGCGGUAAUACGUAGGGGGCAAGCGUUGUCCGGAUUUAUUGGGCGUAAAGAGCGUGUAGGCGGCCAGAUAGGUCGGUUGUGAAAACUGGAGGCUCAACCUUCAGACGUCGACCGAAACCAUCUGGCUAGAGUCCGGAAGAGGAGAGUGGAAUUCCUGGGUGUAGCGGUGAAAUGCGCAGAUAUCAGGAAGAACACCCGUGGCGAAGGCGGCUCUUCUUGGGACGGUACUGACGCUGAGACGCGAAAGCGUGGGGGAGCGAACA
rnacentral:rRNA from 1 species